UACGGAAGGUGCAAGCGUUGCUCGGAAUCACUGGGCGUAAAGGGCGUGUAGGCGGUCAAGUAAGUGGAAUGUGAAAGCCCCCGGCUUACCCGGGGAUCUGCAUCCCAAACUGCUUGGCUUGAGUAUGGGAGAGGAUAGGGGAAUUCCUGGUGUAGCGGUGAAAUGCGUAGAUAUCAGGAGGAACACCGGUGGCGAAGGCGCCUAUCUGGCCCAAUACUGACGCUGAGGCGCGAAAGCUAGGGGAGCAAACGGG
rnacentral:rRNA from 1 species